UCUGAGAGCAUUUAUAUCCCUGUGAGUUUAAAACUUCAUGACUGAGUGCUGUACUUCCUUACAACAGAACCCACAACAACCAUGACUUUUAUCACCAUCUUCAUCUGGACACUUGCUCUCUGCUUCAAGGAAUCCAGAGGACAGAUCACUGUGACUCAGACUCCUGAAAUGAAAGUGUUCCAGAAUGGAGACGCAGUCACUUUAAGAUGUAGAUUUAACAAACCUCCUGCGUGUAGUCCCCCUUGUGUAGCCUGGUACCAACAGAAACCUGGAGGAGCUCCUAAACUCCUUAUUUACUAUGCUACAACACUUCAGUCUGGGACUCCAUCUAGAUUCAGUGGCAGUGGAUCUGGGAGUGACUUCACUCUGACCAUCAGUGGAGUCCAGGCUGAAGAUGCAGGAGAUUACUACUGUCAGAGUUACCACAGUGGUCCAGUGUUCACACAGUGAUACAGAGCCGUACAAAAACC